GACGAACGCUGGCGGCGUGCCCAAUACAUGCAAGUUGAGCGCUGAAGGUUGGUACUUGUACCAACUGGAUGAGCAGCGAACGGGUGAGUAACGCGUGGGGAAUCUGCCUUUGAGCGGGGGACAACAUUUGGAAACGAAUGCUAAUACCGCAUAAAAACUUUAAACACAAGUUUUAAGUUUGAAAGAUGCAAUUGCAUCACUCAAAGAUGAUCCCGCGUUGUAUUAGCUAGUUGGUGAGGUAAAGGCUCACCAAGGCGAUGAUACAUAGCCGACCUGAGAGGGUGAUCGGCCACAUUGGGACUGAGACACGGCCCAAACUCCUACGGGAGGCAGCAGUAGGGAAUCUUCGGCAAUGGACGAAAGUCUGACCGAGCAACGCCGCGUGAGUGAAGAAGGUUUUCGGAUCGUAAAACUCUGUUGGUAGAGAAGAACGUUGGUGAGAGUGGAAAGCUCAUCAAGUGACGGUAACUACCCAGAAAGGGACGGCUAACUACGUGC
rnacentral:rRNA from 1 species